GGUUCCAUUGCUCAGUUGGUUAGCGCGUGGUGCUAACAUUACCGGUAUUUAAAUGUUAACGCUAAGGUCGAGGGUUCGAUCCCCUCUGGAACCA